rnacentral:lncRNA from 1 species
GGUGUUCGGUACCUACGUUGGAGUUCGACUACAUCCAUAUUCACACAGCGUAGGGGCCCCAUUCAGGAGGAGGCGCUCUCUACCAAGGCUUUUUCAUUCUUAAGGCUCGAACACGAGACUUAAUUGUCAAAUAUUGUGAACAUGCAUACAAAGAGAGAAGAGAUCGUAUGCGAAGAAAGAGAGGAAUGGAGCGAAGAUUUUCAUUGCAAAACAAACUGACAUCCUAGUCUAACCAAAAUUCUAAUCCAACUCUAAUUAACAACUAACUCUAGUUAGAUAUGAGUUACUAUGCUAAUCUAUGGUUAAGUUAUUACAUCCAUUUUCGAAAAGUGUGUAGUUUUCCAUUCCUGUUAGCAACAUUCCCACAUUCAUCGAACUAGGUCCAUUGGAAGGGUGCAAACAUAACGGAUGACUGUGGUCGAGAAACGCCGUACCACUAGCUCCGCCACUAGAAGUACUACUACUAAUAUUGCUCGAAUUUUCCAGAGUCGUCAUGUUAGACGAAGAAUUAGAUGUAAAAUGAACAUAAUCUCUGUAGUUUCAGCUCAAUUCCUGUGAAAAUUUUCCGAAAUUAGGGUUCUAGAAUAUCAUAAAUUGCCGAUUGUCAGACAAAAUUGUGUAAACUCUCUUGAUUUCCCUUUGAAUUGCGCGAGAAAAUCCCUAUAACUCCAUAGAGAAAUGCUUUGAUACCAUGUCAAAUGCUGUGAACAUACAUGCAUAGAGAGAAGAGAUCGUACGUCAAGGAAGAGAUAAAUGGAGAUUUGCAGAAGCUUUUCAUUGCAAA